UACGGAUCCGGUCCGUCCACCAUCUCCCAGGAUAUCUAGUCAGGCUGACCCCAUCAUACAAUUAUCAGUCUACACAAUCUUUCAUUUUCCUCUUCCUCAGUAAGCAUUAUCAAUUCACAUUUUAAACAAGCAAAUCGUAAUUCAUGCCAAACAGACAACAUACGGUAUCAGUUUUUCAGUCAUUCAACCCAUAACCAAUAAAAACGUAAUAUAUGCACACGAAACUAUAAAAUAAACACAUCAAGCCUCAUACUGCAUUUAAAGCUGUAAAACAGGUCAAAUAACAGUAAAUCAUCAAUCACACUAGACUCGGGCUCCAUUAGCAACCUUAAGCAAUUUCACACAUUCGUUAAUUCAAGAAA
rnacentral:lncRNA from 1 species